CCUACGGGGGGCAGCAGUGGGGAAUGUUGCGCAAUGAGCGAAAGAGUGACGCAGCGACGCCGCGUGAAUGACGAAGGCCUUCGGGACGUAAAGCUCUUUCGACAGGGAAGAAAAUGCCUAUAAGUAACUGUGUAUGUAUUGACGGUACCGGUAUAAGUAGCCCCGGCUAACGCCGUGCCAGCAGCCGCGGUAAUACGGAGGGGGCGUGCGUUGUUCGGAGGGACUGGGCGUAAAGGGCACGUAGGCGGUGUUGUAAGUCAUUAGUCAAAGACCAGGGCUCAACUUUAGUAAGGCUAGUGAUACUGUCAUACUAGAGUAUGAGAGAGGAUUGCAGAAUUCCUGGUGUAGCGGUGAAAUGCGUAGAUAUCAGGAGGAAUACCGUUCGCGAAGGCGGCAAUCUGGCUGGAAACUGACGCUGAGGUGCGAAAGCGUGGGUAGCAAACAGGAUUAGAUACCCUUGUAGUC
rnacentral:rRNA from 1 species